GGCGAGCAAAGCGAGUGGGGGGAACUCCCUAGUAUUAAUAAUAAUUUAUAUUCACUUUUCUGCUGCCUUCUUGUUUCAUGAAGCAUUGUGAUUUUAGGAUGAUAAACUACAAUUGACAAAUGGGUACACUAAUUCAAUGAGGUUAUGCACCAGGUUGGCUUUGACUUUCACAUAUCCUGUGUUAUUCAGACGUUGCUGUUCUCCUGUUAAGAGAAGUUUCACAGUUGGUGCCUUUGGCCAUGUGCUUCUUUUACAGCUGUCAUACCCCAUUUGUAACAGGGUACAACCAGUUGUGUGUUCUGGUAUUAUUUUUAUAUCCAGAUGUUAUUUUGCAGAAAUAGUGUCAUCCUUGUGUGCAACUCUCGGCAAGAGCCUAUUUCUAACUAUAAUACUGCUGUCGGCUAGUUGUUUUUGGAAGGUGGCCUGUUCCUGAUAAAGCCAUGGUGCUGAUGUUGUGCUUGAAGCAUAUAGUAAGGUGGUUAUUCCUGAUGCUGGCAUGUCUGGCAUCCACCCCUUCAAAAUCACUUCCAUCUUUUCCCAUUCUCCUUCAACACUUUGAAAACAAACAGUCCAUCAAUAGCUCACUUAAAUAGCAUUGUCUUGAUAUUUGAUGUUGAUAUGAGGGAUUGGCAGAUCUGCUUAAUAAAGUAGGCAUGCCGUGUACAUGGCAUACCCCAGUAUCACAGUGUAUACAUAACGGUGUAAGUCUUUAUAGAUAAGCAAUAGGGAUUGUGUAAGUUGUCUCUGAUUAUGAGGGAAGGUCAGGUAUUUGGUGAAAGCUAAUAGUAACAAACCACCAUUGAAGUGUGUACCUCAGCUGUAUUCAGAAAUAAAUGCCUGUCUGCUUGAUAUGUGCAACUGUGUUUUAAGCUUUUCAGAAAAGACUUCAACAAAUACAUUUUGAUGCAGAUGCUGCCCCUUUACAUAAAACAUUAAAACCUCUUCCAUAUGACUUGUGGUUUUAUUUUUAAUAGGUGAUUUAUUUUUAGGUUCAUUAUUACCUGCCUGUCUGCUAUAAAUAGCACUGUCUGGACAUGCACUGCUGUAUCAGACUGAGCGGUCAAUCAAAUGAAAAAAGAACCUAAUUACUUUCCACACAAUGUAUAAUAAUAAUGCUGAUAACUGUAUUUAAAGGUUUUUGAGUAUUUUGGUUUUCCAUGUUACACCAAUUGGUCAAUCUUAUUAUGCUAAUUAGUUCUUCUUAAUUGGUCCUGAAUGACUGAGGGUGGGUCUUGAGAUGGACAAGCUUAUUUUGCACUGGCACCGACCCCUCUUAACAAAGAAUUAGAUGAGAGAGGGUGGUCUCAGACUGGCUACAGUUGUCACUAGGACAGGUCAUGACCACUAGUUAUAAUGCAACAUGCGUAUCUAAUAUUACACAAGGUACAUAACAGAUACUGUACAACCUUAAACGCCUACAACAAACCGUUCAUGUUAUGUCAGGCUGCACGGCCCUUGUUGCGAGUGGACUUUCAACUUUGUUUUUAAAAUUUUGAUGUUUUUGUUUGCUCUGUUAAAAAUAUUGUGAAAUGUGGGCUAUAAUAAAUAUGUACAACAAUUUGGAGCGGUAUUUAUCUUGAAAAAAAUCUAAAAGUAAUACUGUAAUUACUUUAUUACCAGUGUAAUACUUUUUGCUUUUCUUUUUCUGCUUCAGUCACCUAGAGGAGAAACAGAUGCGUCGUAUGCUAAUGCAAGAAAGCUAAGAAUGACAUUCCUUUGAGCUUACCUAUGAAACCAACAGCAUAAGGUAUGAAGCAGGAGUCAACCCUGGAGAAGACACCUUUCAUAUCAAUUUUGAGACCCCAGUCAGCCUAACCUGCACAUAUUUGGUAAAUGGCAGGAAGCCACACACCCUGAAGGUAACCCACGUGGACAUCUCUACAACAGGCAAACUUCCCACAGGCAGGGCUUGAGUUUUGAUUUGAUGGUUUGAGGCUUCUCUGCUAGCUCCAGAAUCACCACAUCUCUGACGCUGAUUUUAAAAGUCACACUGAGGGCAGGCCUGCUCUUCAAGAAGCCUUACUCGGUUCAGUGGCGAGGAAACCCCUGGUAAGUGCACUUGGUCCCCACCGCCCUUCCAGUUUUCCAGCUUUAAAACCCACUGCUGCCAGAGAGAUACAGUGGUUUGACUCGACUAAGCCAAAGGAUGGAGUUCCCGAAUUCCUCAAAGAAUAUUGCCAGAACGGAUUAACUUAUUUUGUCUGCAACUGCUUGUAACAGAGGCGCACAUUGCUGCCCUAUUUGUUUCAUUUUGGGACUUUAUUAAAUAGGGAUGAUUGGCUUGACAGCCCAAUACUUCUUCUGGGACCUGCAGUACCUUAUUUCAAUCACAAUCCUUAUUCUACUCAGUAACAUGUUGCUUAAAAUAAUCAGUUGUACGGAUAAAGAGUACUGUUUCAAGAUACUGCAUUGGCUAUUUUAAUGUCAAACACAAAUGUAUUGUAAGGGGUACAAGGCCAGUGUGUUGUGGGUGGAUAUGACAAUUUUUGCUUGAAGGUGGUUGUGAGCAGUUAGCUACUUACUGUCAUAAGACAUGCAGAAGAGGGCAAGGUAGUGCACAUUAAGUUUUUCAUACUCAUAAAGUAGAAUAAGAUAGUAAAAUACAUAAGUAACCCAGAUUAAGUCAUCAAUAAUACUGUUCACUCCAAAAAUGCAUGUAAAUUCCAUUCAACCAGCUGCUGUUUCUUAAAAUUUCCAGUUAGAGAGACAACAGUGUGUUCAGUUUCAACCACUAUCUUACUCAUGU